GAUGAACGCUGGCGGCGUGCCUAAUACAUGCCAGUCGAGCGAACAGACGAGGGGCUUGCUCCUCUGACGUUAGCGGCGGACGGGUGAGUAACACGUGGAUAACCUACCUAUAAGACUGGGAUAACUUCGGGAAACCGGAGCUAAUACCGGAUAAUAUAUUGAACCGCAUGGUUCAAUAGUGAAAGACGGUUUUGCUGUCACUUAUAGAUGGAUCCGCGCCGCAUUAGCUAGUUGGUAAGGUAACGGCUUACCAAGGCGACGAUGCGUAGCCGACCUGAGAGGGUGAUCGGCCACACUGGAACUGAGACACGGUCCAGACUCCUACGGGAGGCAGCAGUAGGGAAUCUUCCGCAAUGGGCGAAAGCCUGACGGAGCAACGCCGCGUGAGUGAUGAAGGUCUUCGGAUCGUAAAACUCUGUUAUUAGGGAAGAACAAAUGUGUAAGUAACUAUGCACGUCUUGACGGUACCUAAUCAGAAAGCCACGGCUAACUACGUG
rnacentral:rRNA from 1 species